GGGAUCAUUAAAGAGUAGUUUUUACAACAACUCCAAACCCAUGUGAACUUACCUAUGUUGCCUCGGCGGGGGAGCCUACCCUGUAGGAGCCCUGCCGAUGGACCAUUAAACUCUGUUUAUUUUGUAACUUCUGAGUGUUUAAACUUAAUAAGUUAAAACUUUCAACAACGGAUCUCUUGGUUCUGGCAUCGAUGAAGAACGCAGCGAAAUGCGAUAAGUAAUGUGAAUUGCAGAAUUCAGUGAAUCAUCGAAUCUUUGAACGCACAUUGCGCCCAUUAGUAUUCUAGUGGGCAUGCCUGUUCGAGCGUCAUUUCAACUAUCAAGCCCUAUUUGCUUGGUGUUGGGAGCUUGCCCUACCCUGUAGGACAACUCCUCAAAUAUAUUGGCGGAGUCGCGAAGACCCCAAGCGUAGUAACUUUUCUCGCUUCAGGUGUGUCGGCGCUGGCAUCCAGCCAUUAAACCUCUAAUUUUUUAGUCUUGACCUCGG
rnacentral:rRNA from 1 species